UUUUGUGUUUUGUUCUGUUAUGUGAUCAUUGUUCAAUGGUCGUGUCUUGUUAUGUUAUGUUCUUUGAUCAAUGCUUGAAUCAGUUCAUCUCUUGAUUGAUCAAAGUUUAAAUUGGUUCAUCUGUUCUUCGAUCACUGCAGAUAUUCAUGUGGUUUCAAAUAGAAGAUAAGUAUAGUUCUUCUUUCAUUUUCAGCCUGCAGAGGAAUGCAAGUGUUUGGGCUACAUAAAUGGCCACGGAGCAGAUGAAGGUCAUAUGUGUGUGAAGAUUCACUUGAGUCUAAUUAGUCUGAUGCUUCAUUGUAAUCACCCCUGCCCACUCCCACGCCCAAUCAAAUUCAACCAUGGUUUGUGUUUCAGUGUAAUGGUUCAUCACUUCAUUGUAAUCGCAGCCUUCUUGUGUAGUGUCAUAUUGUAUCCAAAUCUCUGUUUGGUAAUCUAGUAUACAUUAUCAUAUUGUAUCCUAUACAACAUUAAACAGCCCAAAUUUUGUUCCAAACCCCAUCAUUGGAGAGGAAAAAAGUGAAUCAAAAAAUGGCUAAGAAACCUUCAUAGAGUUCAAUCAUCAGAGUUCAGAGAGAUCUUAGACCAUGUGCAUUGGAAUAUCCAGAUAAAAUUGUCCCACAAUUUUUUUUUUCUUUCUUAAGACAUUUUUUUUUAAAAAGUCAACCAAUCGUGGGCCGCCACGAAUCGCGGAGCCCACGAAUAAUAAACAAACCAAAAAGAAGGACGGUCCCGAUUUUGUAUACGUCCUUGUCUUUUUUGCAAGUUUUGAUUUUAGUUUAAAUAUUUUAAUAGGUAGGACUUUUCAUUAUUACUCCAAUGCACAUGCUCUUAUACCAUGAGCAUUAGAGGCUUUAGCCCCAGUCCCUCACAUUUAUUUGCAAAAAAAAAAAAUCAAAAAAAAAAGAAAUAAGAAGGACCGUUAACAAAAAUACGACGUCCUUGGUUUUGGUAUUACACUAUAUGCGGGCCCCACUAACACGUGGCGGUCCGCGAUUGGUUUCUUAUUAUUAUUAUUAUUAUUUUUAAAAAUCUUUAAAAAAAAAAACAAGAAUUUGGGACAAAAAAAAAAAGUCUGACAUCUUUAACGUACUUUCUAAGUAGUAACUAUUUUAGUUUUCCAUCUUCAGUGUAAUACUAAUAAGUAAUAACAAACUAAAGCAAUGACAUCUAAAAAAUAAAAUAAAAAC
rnacentral:lncRNA from 1 species